ACUCUCAGAGAUCAGGGAAUCACGCCUCCACACCUAUUAACAAUACCAAAACAAAUUGAAAAAAUGGCUCCCAUCCCACCACCUCCCAACCUCAAUCUCACCUCACUUUCUCUCUCCUCUCUUCCUUCCCCAAUUUCACUCUCUUCUUCCGCCAUGGAAGACCUUCCAUUGCAGAAAAUCACAAUCUCAGGUCCAACUCUUUCUUCUCUCAUCAAUCGCUUAUCUUCUUCUCCAUCAAACAUUGAGGGUCUUCUCUUCGGAAAAUUCUCUCUCCAAACUCCACUUUCUCUUUCCGACGACUCUCCUUCUCCUUCCCCUGACUCUCUCGUCGCCACAAUCACCGGAUUCAUCUCCUCCGCUAACUCUUCCGGCGAUAUAUCCUCACUCCUCCACCGGAAUCACCACCGCCAAGUCAUAGGAUGGUUUUCCGGUCGCCGGAAAUCGCAUCUCCGGCCAUCUCUCCGUGAAUUCGCCGUCACUCAUUCUAUGUCCUCGGAUUCACCUCGGAUUUUCCUGAUCCUUACGACGCCGUUUCAGGAUUCUCAAACCCUAAUUCACACUCACGAUUAUAGGGUUUAUCAGUUUAGGAGAUCGGAUAAUUCGUUCGAAACGAUGUCGUUGGAUGUUGUUAACAUUGGUCCGGCGUUUCGAGGGCAUUAUAGUGCGUUUUCGCCGAAUUCGGAGCUUCCUUGUUUUCCGUGUGAGUUUCAAGGUGGGUCCCCCAUGAGGGAGGAUGAGAAGGAGAGAGAAAAUAUGAAUUUGAAAGAGAUGAAGAGAGUUGCCAAGGAUCAGAAGGAUUUGGGGGCGUAUGUGGAGGGGUAUGAGCUUGGGAGUUUGAGUAGAUUAAUGGGAGUUGAUGCUGUGAGUUAUAUGGGUGGAGUUGAGGAGUUGUAUGAGAAGAUGCUUGCUAAGCUUGAUUGUUUGGCGAGACAAGUCGAAAGCUCGUCUUCGAAAGUUCUUGAGAUGGAAAAUCACAACAUGAAGUUAAGGCACAGAGUUGCUGGGCUUGAAUGAUUGGGUGGUUGUGGAUAAAAUUGGGCAUAUUUUUGUUCUAGUUUCAGCUUCCGAGGGUACACAGCGUGCACAAAUAAAUAGGAGGGAUUGUUUCUCAUUCAAUGCUUGACGAGUAUAUAUGUAAAUUAUGUCCAACAGUGAAGGCUUUCCUGACCCUUAUCUUUUCCACGGAUCUUUGCUUCUCAGUUUGAAAGACUAACUUAAGCUGGAAAGGGCAGCUGUUUUGUAAAUGAAGCAUCAGCAUGCUGCCACUGCUUCUGAGAUGUGUGCUAGCGUUAUUGUGAUUGGACGAAACGACUGGCAGAUGUCUUGCUGUUGCAAUUUGACUGAAGGAAGCGUUGGUACUUUUUCUGUGGGUAUACAAGUGGAGAUUACAGUUUGUUUUUGAAAUGUACAGCCAUUGAGCUCAGAUACAGUAACAACUUUUUGCUAUCUGUGCCUUUGUCAAACUUGGAAUGGAACGCAACUUGUUAUA